rnacentral:rRNA from 1 species
GGGGGGGGGGGGGGGGGGGGGGGGGGGGGGGAGGGGGAGGGGGAGGGGGCGUGGGGGGGGGGGUGCUGGGGUGGGGAAGGUGUGAGUGAGGCGUGAGUGGAGUGGCGUUGGGGUUGGGAGGACGUGGGGACACGGGGGGUGCUAGCGGAUAGGCGUGCUUGCGGCAUGGUGGGUGGGGGUAGGUGUGGGCGGUUGGGGGUGAAGUCGCGGCUUAUCAGUGAGGUGGGGGGGUAGUGGCUUACCAAGGCUUUGACGGGUAGCCGGCCUGCGAGGGUGACCGGCCACAUUGGGACUGAGAUACGGCCCAGACUCCUCCGGGAGGCAGCAGUGGGGAAUAUUGCACAAUGGGCGGAAGCCUGAUGCAGCAACGCCGCGUGCGGGAUGACGGCCUUCGGGUUGUAAACCGCUUUCGCCUGUGACGAAGCGUGAGUGACGGUAAUGGGUAAAGAAGCACCGGCUAACUACGUG